GUGGGGAAUAUUGGACAAUGGGCGAAAGCCUGAUCCAGCCAUGCCGCGUGUGUGAAGAAGGUCUUCGGAUUGUAAAGCACUUUAAGUUGGGAGGAAGGGUAGUAACCUAAUACGUUGCUACUUUGACGUUACCGACAGAAUAAGCACCGGCUAACUUCGUGCCAGCAGCCGCGGUAAUACGAAGGGUGCAAGCGUUAAUCGGAAUUACUGGGCGUAAAGCGCGCGUAGGUGGUUCAGUAAGUUGGAAGUGAAAUCCCCGGGCUCAAACUGGGAACUGCUUUCAAAACUGCUGAGCUAGAGUACGGUAGAGGGUGGUGGAAUUUCCUGUGUAGCGGUAAAAUGCGUAGAUAUAGGAAGGAACACCAGUGGCGAAGGCGACCACCUGGACUGACGCUGAUGGACGAAAGCGUGGGGAGCGAACAGGAUUAGAUACCCCGGUAGUCC
rnacentral:rRNA from 1 species